rnacentral:rRNA from 1 species
AUUGAACGCUGGCGGCAUGCUUUACACAUGCAAGUCGAACGGUAACAGGUUAAGCUGACGAGUGGCGAACGGGUGAGUAAUGCAUCGGAACGUGCCCGAUCGUGGGGGAUAACGCAGCGAAAGCUGCGCUAAUACCGCAUACGAUCUGAGGAUGAAAGCGGGGGACCGUAAGGCCUCGCGCGAUCGGAGCGGCCGAUGUCAGAUUAGGUAGUUAGUGAGGUAAAGGCUCACCAAGCCAACGAUCUGUAGCUGGUCUGAGAGGACGACCAGCCACACUGGGACUGAGACAAUGCCCAGACUUCUACGGGAGGUAGCAGUGGGGAAUUUUGGACAAUGGGCGAAAGCCUGAUCCAGCAAUGCCGCGUGCAGGAAGAAGGCCUUCGGGUUGUAAACUGCUUUUGUACGGAGCGAAAAGGCCCUCUCUAAUACAGUGGGCUCAUGACGGUACCGUAAGAAUAAGCACCGGCUAACUACGUGCCAGCCGCCGCAGUAAAAC